UAAAUAUGCGUCAGAGGAGGUGGUUGGAUGUGGUCAAGGAUUAUGAUUGUGAGAUCCUGUACCACCCAGGCAAGGCUAAUGUGGUAGCCGACGCGUUGAGCCGCAGGGCGGAGAGCACUCCAUUGCGAGAUGUAUGCUUGAGACUGACUGUGAUGACUCCAGUAUUGGAUGCUAUUCGUGGGGCACAGGCCGAGGCUGUACGACCAGAAAUGCAGAAGAAAGAGCGGGUUGUGGGGUUGAUUUCAGAGUUCGUUAAGGAUGGACGAGGGCCUAUGACGUUUCAGGGUCGGAUUUGGGUACCGUUCGUGGGCGGUACGCGUAUCACUUUGAUGGAAGAGGCUCAUAGAUCGAAAUUCUCGAUCCAUCCCGGUGCUACGAAGAUGUAUUUGGAUUUGAGGAAAGAGUAUUGGUGGCCCUGUAUGAAGAGGGACGUCGCAUGGUUCGUUGAGAGGUGCUUGACCUGCCGUAGGGUUAAGGCCGAGCAUCAGAGACCGCAUGUCAAGUUACAGCCAUUGGAGAUUCCCGAGUGGAAGUGGGAACAAAUCACCAUGGAUUUCAUCACCAAAUUGCCGAGGACUGACAGGGGAGUUGAUGCAAUUUGGGUGAUUGUGGAUAGAUUGACGAAGAGUGCACACUUCCUUGCCAUCAGUGAGAGUUCUUCAGCGGAGAAGUUGGCGGAGAUAUAUGUGAGAGAGGUGGUAUCUCGGCAUGGGGUACCGAUCUCGAUUGUUUCAGACCGUGAUGUACGUUUCACUUCCAGGUUCUGGAAGAAAUUUCAUGAGGAGCUGGGUACUAAAUUGCAUUUUAGUACCGCAUAUCAUCCCCAGACAGACGGCCAGAGCGAGCGGACGAUUCAGACGCUGGAGGACAUGCUUCGAGCGUGUGUGUUGGACUUCGGGGGUAGCUGGGAUGCAUAUUUACCCUUAGCAGAGUUUUCCUACAACAACAGCCAUCAUUCGAGCAUUGGUAUGCCACCUUUUGAGCUGUUGUAUGGUAGGAGGUGUCGGACUCCCAUUUGUUGGGGAGAGGUGGGACAGAGAGUGAUGGGCAGCACAGAGAUCGUGCUUCAGACGACAGAGCAGAUUCAGCAAGUUAGACAGAGGUUAUUGACCGCCCAGAGCCGACAGAAGAGUUAUGCAGACAGGCGCCGAUCCGAGCUUGAGUUUCAAGUCGGCGACUUCGUUCUCCUGAAGGUCUCUCCUUGGAAAGGAGUGAUUCGAUUCAGGAAGAGGGGCAAGUUGGGGCCCCGGUAUAUUGGGCCAUUUCGUGUGAUUGCAAGGAUAGGCCGGGUAGCCUAUCGGUUGGAGUUGCCAGCGGAGUUGGGACAGAUCCACGACACUUUUCAUGUGUCGCAAUUGAGGAAGUGCAUAGCCGAUGAGUCGGCAGUGGUUCCAUUGGAGGAUAUUCAGGUGGAUGCGAGCCUGAAUUAUGCUGAGAGACCAGUGGCCAUCAGGGAUCGAAAGAUCAAGGUUCUGAGGAACAAGGAGGUACCUCUGGUGUUGGUUCAGUGGCAACACCGGAAGGGAUCGGAAAUGACUUGGGAGCCGGAACGUGAGAUGCGGGAGCAGCAUCCGGAACUAUUUUCAGAGUGAGACUUCGAGGGCGAAGUCUAAUCCUAGUGGGGGAGAGUUGUAACAGCCCGGAAUCUCAGGUAUUGUUAAAAUUAUGUUUUUGGGGUGUUUUAAGAGGGGACUCGGCGAGUUGGAGCCUAGACUCGCCGAGUAGGAUCGCAGACCUGGUCGCGGGUUCGCGACUGGACUCGACGAGUCCAGAUAUGGACUCGGCGAGUCUGCGCUGUUUAGCGAAAACCCUAACCGUUCAGGUUUGGGACGUAUAAAAGGGACUUAUUGGCCGUCAUUGUUCAUUUUAGCCUUCUGAGAAGAACCCUAAAUCGAUUGUGUGCAUCUGGAGCAAGGAUUAUAGGCCAUUGUUGAUUAUAGAAGAGUUGUUGUGCAAGGAAGAGAAGAGAUUGGCUAAAGGAACAGCAAGGGAGUCACAUUCUGAGGAUUGGGGACACAGAGAAUACAUCAUCCAGGUAAGAAUUCGAGUAUACUCUGCUAUGUUGAUGUGAUUAUGGAAUUAGGGUUUAUGGAACCCUUUUGUGAAUAGAUUGAAUGUUACCCUAGUCCCCUAAUCGAUUGUAACCCUGUAUUGGGACCUUUGGAGGUCCAGAAUGUCCCAUGUCUGUGCAUUUCGGGAAUUGAUGAAGGUUUUGGAUUGGAAUCCUUAUGCCUUAGGUCAAAAUGUAAAUUAUGAAUCAUAUGGUGUAUCAUGAGCACUGAAAUGAGGACUUUACGUGAUGGAUCAGCCUAGGAAGGCCAGACCUAGGAAUGGUCGGAGCAGUUCUGACCUUAGGAUGCAGUUUGAGCGGUUGCAUGGCAUGGACUCGCCGAGUUCGAUGAACAGACUCGGCGAGUAGCUUGAAGAUUAACUGGGACUCGUCGAGUUGUUCUUCAGACUCGGCGAGUUGAGUCGGGGUGGCCCCGCGAUUCUUCCAGGAGUAACUCGUCGGGUCAAGGAGGAUACUCGACGAGUAGAUAGGGAAUCUCAGAGAGUUGGAGGACGUCUAGACUCGCCGAGUCGCCAUGGCACUCGCCGAGUCCGGUCGAGUUGACCGUUGACCGUUGACCGUUGACCAGAGUUGACCUAAGUCUGACUUCUUAGGGAUAGUCACACUUAGAAGAUAUAAGUGUUAAUGAGAGAUAUGUGAUGUUAUAGGGAGGUUGUAGCUCGUCGGAUUGUGCACGAGUGAUUUCAGGAUUUGCUAGCUUUCAGCAUUCACGAGGUGAGUCUUCUCACUAUACUGUACCCGGAAGGGUUUGACUGUGUGACCGGAAGGUCAGAUAUGAUAUGUGAUAUGUAUGCUAUAUGUGGUAAGUUAUUUGUUAUAUGUGCUAUGUAUGUUAUGUGGGCCGGAAGGCAAUAUGUGAUGGGCCGGAAGGCGAUUAUGUUAUGGGCCGGAAGGCGUUGUGUUGAGGACCGGAAGGUCAGGGCCUGGAAAGGCGUAUGUGCGUAAGUUGUAUAUUGGGGAACUCACUAAGCAUUUAUGCUUACAGUUGUUAUGUAUGUGUUUCAGGUACUAGCGAGGACCGUGGGAAGGCGCCGGCGUGAUCGGUACACACUGAAGGAUGUUUUUAUGAUCUUGGGAUUUAGACAAUUUGUAUUUGACAUGACACUUAAAUUAUUUAUGCCUUGUUUUGAAUGAAAAUACUUUAUUUUUAAAAUGAAAAAUUUGUUUGAAAAUUUGCGUUGUUACAAUUGGUAUCAGAGCCUUGGUUUGAGGGAUUCGGGUGCACCUUCGGGAGUAACUGAACUCAAACCGAGGAUUUGAGGAAAACUUUUUAAAUAAAGGCAUAAACUUUUGUAAAUGGUUUUGUGGUAAGCAAGAAAGAAGCAGUGUGUACGAUCAGUCAGCGCCCGAACGGUAAAGAUCCCCAAAAUACCUUACAAUAUUAUAUGAUAUGAAUUGUUAUGCAUGCUAGAAGACUAGGUAUUCAUGAUAGGACUAGAGUGGCCUGAUUUGUGAUGCCUUAGUCUAGGGAAGUUUGCCGAUAUGAGAUGCUUUGCUAGUGUGCGGGUAGAUAGUGCAUAACAGAAGUAGAGUACUCACUAUCCGGGGUUUGGGGAGGAAGAUUUGGGAUGAAUGCUGAUGCGGUGUGGUCGGUAGUAUUGGGCCCGUACUACCGAAGACACCGGGUCAGUGGGAGACCCAAGUAAGAAUCCCUGGAUAUCGGAGACUGAGUAGGGUUGCGUUAUCGAGUGCGAUUAUACUCGAUGGAGUCUCUGAUAGUUUUAUGUUGUAUUUCAGAGACAUCAUGGUUAGACCACGCCACGGAGCGAGUUCGAGCGGUGUGAGUGACGAGGAGAUUCGUCAGAUGAUUCACGAGGAGGUAGCUGCGGCGAUCCGGGCUGAGAUCCCGGAGAUGUUUGGGUCUAUUAAGACCACCCUGAUGGAGACGUUUGAUGAGCGGUACGCCGCAUUGACUGAGGCUGCAACCGCUGCAGCUACCGCAGCUGUGGUCGCUGCUAGGCCACAGGGGGGUGACUCGUUGCUGUUCCGAGAGUUCAGCAACACGAAGCCACCAGAGUUCGAUGGGACGCAGGAUCCGAUUGCUGCGAUGAGGUGGAUCGCGGAUAUAGAGGGGUGCUUCUACACUUGUUCAUGCCCGGAGCACCUGAGGGUACGGUUCGCUUUGAACCAGCUCCGUCUGGGAGCGAAGGACUGGUGGAAGUUCGUGACGGCGAACUUCACUUUGGCAGAGACUACAGCAGUGACAUGGGAGGGGUUUACUGCUAUGUUCAGGGACGAGUACGUUCCCCCGGUGGAGAGGGAACGAUUGGUUCAGGAGUUCUUAACCCUCAAGCAGGGUACUGAUUCGGUUGCGGCGAUCACGCGGAAGUUUCAUGAGAGGGCGAUGUUCUGCCCCGAGCUGGUGUCCACAGAGCAGGCUCGGAUGAGCCGGUACUUGGGUGUUUUGAGGAGGGAUAUCCGGGAGUUUGUGUCAAACUCCACCUAUCAUACCUUUACUGAGCUUCAGGCGAAUGCCAGGAAGCGCGAGAUCGAGUUGGAGACCCAGGCCAGGGAGGAGGCCGAGUCUCAGCGGGUGGACCGGCGGCCGGCUCAGUCUCAGCCGGCAGCCAAGCGGACUAAGUCCGCCGAUUCGAGGACGGGAGGUCCGAAGGGCCGCACUUGCGGAAAGUGCGGCAAGGGUCACGAUGGGGCGUGUCGAGCUGGUGCUUGCUACAAGUGCGGCAAGGAGGGGCACAUUGCUAGGGAGUGCCCCAAGGGGUUUAUGGUUUGCUUUCAUUGCAACCAGACCGGCCAUCGGAAGGCCGAGUGCCCUCAGCUUCGUCAGGGAUCUGCACCUACUGCCAGGACUACUGAGACUCGACCGGUGAAGGUCGAGGCCCCGAGGGCUCGUGGGAGAGCCUUUCAGCUGACUGCGGAGGAGGUCCGCGCUGCGCCCGAUGUUGUGGCAGGUAUGUUGUAAUUCAUGUAUUUAUUUUAAUGUCGAGAUGUUAUGCUUAUGUUAUUAUAUGCGUAGGUACUUUCCUUGUGAACUCUGUGCCUGCCUUAGUGUUAUUUGACUCGGGUGCGAGUAGGUCCUUUGUGUCCUUAGCCUUUAGUCAGCAUAUCAGCGUUAGUCGUGAGUCGUUGAGUCGACCUUUGAGAGUUUCUAUAGCUGACGAGAAAGUGAUUUGUGCCACGGAGGUUCUUCGGGGAUGUGUACUAGAGAUUUUCGGGGUUGAAUUCCCGAUUGACCUGAUUCCUAUUGCGAUGGGUGAUGUCUGUGUCAUCGUGGGCAUGGACUGGUUGAGCCGAUUCGGCGCUGUCAUCGACUGUGAGCGUCAGCUGGUGACUAUACGAGACCAUAGUGGGGGAGUUCUUUCGGUGUACGGCGAGGGUACCCGUUCGGGAUCAGCUUUUUGUUCGGCCGCUAGGGCGAGGCAGUGUCUACAGCAGGGCUGUAAGGGUUUUGUGGCGUAUGUGAUGGAUACGCGGGAGGUUUCCGAGAGACCGAAGUCAGUUGAGGAGGUCCCUGUGGUGCGUGAGUUUCCAGAUGUUUUCCCCGAGGAGCUGCCGGGAGUACCUCCUGUGAGGCAAGUAGAGUUUGGUAUCGAUCUGGUUCCGGGGGCCGCGCCUAUUGCUAAAGUGCCUUAUCGUCUUGCACCUCCAGAGAUGCAAGAGUUGUCCUCGCAGCUCCAGGAGUUGCUGGGGAAGGGAUUCAUUCGGCCGAGCAGCUCGCCGUGGGGAGCACCUAUUCUGUUCGUCAAGAAGAAGGAUGGUUCACACCGGAUGUGCAUUGAUUACCGGGAGUUGAACAAGUUGACGGUCAAGAACCGUUACCCGUUACCGAGGAUCGAUGAUUUAUUCGAUCAGUUGCAGGGAGCGUCUUGGUUUUCCAAGAUCGAUCUGAGGUCAGGGUACCAUCAGGUGAGAGUGCGGGAUGAGGAUGUCCAGAAGACAGCGUUUAGGACGCGAUAUGGGCAUUAUGAGUUUGUGGUGAUGCCUUUCGGGCUCACCAAUGCCCCGGCUGUGUUCAUGGAUCUCAUGAACAGGGUAUGCAGGCCGAUGUUGGAUCGGUCAGUGAUUGUAUUUAUCGACGACAUUCUGGUGUAUUCGAGAUCUAGAGAGCAGCAUGAGGAGCAUUUGAGGGAGGUCCUUGAGGUAUUGAGGUCGGAGAAGCUUUAUGCAAAGUUCUCCAAAUGUGACUUCUGGUUGCGGGAGGUCCAAUUUCUAGGACAUGUUGUUAAUCAGAAAGGGAUAUUGGUCGAUCCGGCCAAGGUUGAGGCGGUGAUGAGUUGGGAGGUGCCGAAGUCACCCUCUGAGAUCAGGAGCUUCCUUGGGUUGGCAGGGUAUUAUCGGAGAUUCAUUAAGGAUUUCUCCAAGAUCGCAGUGCCGCUCACCAGAUUGACCCGGAAGGGUGUUGCAUUCUCAUGGGGGCCCGAGCAGCAGACCUCCUUUGAGACACUUCGCCAGAGGUUGUGCGAAGCCCCGGUAUUAGCUCUCCCGGAAGGGAUGGAAGAUUUUGUAGUAUAUUGCGACGCAUCGAUUUCGGGACUGGGUGCAGUGUUGAUGCAGAGGGGUCAUGUGAUAGCGUAUGCGUCGAGGCAGCUGAAGCCUCAUGAGGCGAGAUAUCCCACGCAUGAUUUAGAGUUGGGGGCAGUAGUGUUCGCUCUCAAGAUUUGGCGUCACUACCUGUAUGGGGUUCGAUGUACGAUAUACACGGACCAUAAGAGCUUGAAGUAUUUGAUGGAUCAGCCCAACCUAAAUAUGCGUCAGAGGAGGUGGUUGGAUGUGGUCAAGGAUUAUGAUUGUGAGAUCCUGUACCACCCAGGCAAGGCUAAUGUGGUAGCCGAUGCAUUGAGCCGCAGGGCGGAGAGCACUCCAUUGCGAGAUGUAUGCUUGAGACUGACUGUGAUGACUCCAGUAUUGGAUGCUAUUCGUGGGGCACAGGCCGAGGCUGUGCGACCAGAGAUGCAGAAGAAAGAGCGGGUUGUUGGGUUAAUUUCAGAGUUCGUUAAGGAUGGACGAGGGCUUCUGACGUUUCAGGGUCGGAUUUGGGUACCGUUCGUGGGCGGUACGCGUAUUACUUUGAUGGAAGAGGCUCAUAGAUCGAAAUUCUCGAUCCAUCCCGGUGCUACGAAGAUGUAUUUGGAUUUGAGGAAAGAGUAUUGGUGGCCCUGUAUGAAGAGGGACGUCGCAUGGUUCGUUGAGAGGUGCUUGACCUGCCGUAGGGUUAAGGCCGAGCACCAGAGACCGCAUGGCAAGUUACAGCCAUUGGAGAUUCCCGAGUGGAAGUGGGAACAGAUCACUAUGGAUUUCAUCACCAAAUUGCCGAGGACUGCCAGGGGAGUUGAUGCAAUUUGGGUGAUUGUGGAUAGGUUGACGAAGAGUGCACACUUCCUUGCCAUCAGCGAGAGUUCUUCAGCGGAGAAGUUGGCGGAGAUAUAUGUGAGAGAAGUGGUAUCUCGGCAUGGGGUGCCGAUCUCGAUUGUUUCAGACCGUGAUGUACGCUUCACUUCCAGGUUCUGGAAGAAAUUCCAUGAGGAGCUGGGUACUAAAUUGCAUUUUAGUACCGCAUACCAUCCCCAGACAGACGGUCAGAGCGAGCGGACGAUUCAGACGCUGGAGGACAUGCUUCGAGCGUGUGUGUUAGACUUCGGGGGUAGCUGGGAUGCGUAUUUACCCUUGGCAGAGUUUUCCUACAACAACAGCCAUCAUUCGAGCAUUGGUAUGCCACCUUUUGAGCUGUUGUAUGGUAGGAGGUGUCGGACCCCCAUUUGCUGGGGAGAGGUGGGACAGAGAGUGAUGGGCAGCACAGAGAUCGUGCUUCAGACGACAGAGCAGAUUCAGCAAGUUAGACAGAGGUUAUUGACCGCCCAGAGCCGACAGAAGAGUUAUGCAGACAGGCGCCGAUCCGAGCUUGAGUUUCAAGUCGGCGACUUCGUUCUCCUGAAGGUCUCUCCUUGGAAAGGAGUGAUUCGAUUCAGGAAGAGGGGCAAGUUGGGGCCCCGGUAUAUUGGGCCAUUUCGUGUGAUUGCAAGGAUAGGCCGGGUAGCCUAUCGGUUGGAGUUGCCAGCGG
rnacentral:lncRNA from 1 species